GGCCGGGGCGCCCACUGUGGGCGACCUUUCCUCUCGGUGACUCGCCCACGUCCACAUCGGCCACGGCCAGUCGCAGUCCCCAGCCAGCCUCAAGAACAAGCGCUGAGCCUGACUCCUUCCCCUGGAAUGGAAACUGAGUCAUAGUGUACUCCUUCUACCUUAAAAAAAUGUACGGUAAAACAGUGUGCUUCAUAUAUCUGGAGUUUAUCACAUCUCUUGAUUGCAUCAUUUUCUCUUAUGAUUGAUUUAAUCCCAUGCUGUUUUGUUCAUCACGGCUAAGCAUGCAAAAUCCACUGUUAAUGUUGCCAGUAAGAGGUCCCUUCGAGUGAUUGACCUGGAAACUAAAUUAAAAGUGAUUAAGGACUACAAAGCUGGAAAAUCAGUGAUGGUUACUGCUCACCUGGCAGCCAUGUCCCAUUCCACCAUAGCUACAAUUCAUCUUGAAGAACAAGAACAAAGGGAGGAAGCUGUUUAAGGAUCUGCUUCGUGAAGGCAACAAGACUAAUAAAAAUUCGAGAAGGGUCUCUAUCAGUGACCUGGAUUAAAGACCAAGCACAGGAGCGUGUGCCUCCCAGCAUCACGACAAUCACAGCCAAAGCAAAAGUCUGUGAUGUUGGAAGAAAAGGCUGGACCUGACUAUAAUGUUGAAUUUACUGCCCGACCUGGGUGGUAUGAGGAUUCACGAAUCAUUAUUCAUUACAUAAUGUGAAAGUGAGUAAUGAGUCUGCAAGUACUAAUGUAUAGGCAGCUGAAGAAUUUUUGGAAACUUUAUAUAAGCUGAAGAAAAUCUGAAGAAUUUAUGAAGAAAAAUUACUUGCCAAAGAAAAUCUUCAAUAUGGAUAAAACCUCUCUAUUCUGAAAUUGGAUGCCUGAAAAGACCUUUCAUCCAUAAGGAAGCCAAUUCAACUCCAGGUUUCAAGACUUUUAAGGACAGGAUAUCGGUCUUGCGUGGAGGCAGUGUGGCAGGCUACAGGUUGGAACCUUUUGUGAUCCAGUGAGAACCCCAGGGCCUUCAAGCAUAUCAGUAAACACACACUGCCAGUGCACUGCAGGAGCAACAAGAAGUCGUGGAUGACCCAGCUCCUCUUCCAAGAUGCCCUCCUGAAUUGCUAUGCCAGGGAAAUGAGUGAGUGCUGUUUGGAGAACAACAUACCUUUCAAUAUUUUGCUUAUUAUUGAUAAUGCUUCUACACAUCCCUCUUUUAUUGGUGAUCUUCAUCCCAAUAUCAAAGUGGCAUUUCUCCCUCCAAAUGGAUCAAAGAGUUGUAGCAGCUUUUAAGGCCUACUUUCUAAGGAGGACCACUGCCUAGGCUGUUGCUGCAACUAAAGAAGACAUUGGUGCAAUUCUGGAAGGAUUACAAUAUCUGCAACUUUAUCAAAAACCUUUCUUGGUCUUGGGGUGAUAUCACCAAGGAGUGGAUGCAUGGCAUCUGGAAGAAGACACUCAAGAGGUUCGUUCAUGACUUUAAAGGGUUUGUCAAGGAUGAGGAGGUUGCAGAAUUCAACAAGGCUGUGGUUGAGAAGGCAAAUAACUUUAACCUGGGUUUGGAGGAUGACACUGAGGACCUCCUAGAGAGAAAGGAUCUUGCUAUGUUGCCCAGGCUGGUCCUGG